GGGCUCCAGUCCCACAUUCUGUUCGUGAAAGAAAUGAAACAGGUUGCCAUGGAGAUCACAAACCCAGAAUUCUAUGGUGUAGAGAGCCAGUGCUAAGAUCGAGUUAUAUGCUAAUCAUAAUUUCACUGUGUUUGUGUAAUUUUACCCUCCAGUGACUGUCCAGGAUGGACCGAUGGGGAAAAAUACCUGAGAACUGAAACUGUUCCGUCUGCUGCUCGCGUGGUCACAGGGGAACUGACCACACUCAGAGGAAACAGCUGCAUGGGAUUGGCUAGUGUAGCUGUGAUUGACAGUGGACAUGGACCGAAACAGGCUCCACCUCCACCCUGCAUUCAGCUUCUUCCUGACACUCUGGACAUGCCCCACCGGGAAGAGACCCAGGGGAAGACCCCGGACAUGCUGGAGGGACUAUGUCUCUUGGCUGACCCGGGAACGCCUCGGAAUCCCCCCAGAAGAGCUGGAGGAAGUGUCUAAGGAGAGGGAAGUUUGGGCGUCCCUCCUUAGACUGCUGCCCCCGUGACCCGGCUCCAGAAAAGCGGAUAUUUUAUUUUAUUUCAAGAGCUAAACUUACCCAGAAUCCUUUUCUCUGAACCAUGACCCAAAUAAUCAUACAUGUAGGGGAGUGUAAGAGCAAAAGAAAUGACCUUACUGUUAUAAGGCAGAGGUGGAGAGGUGAGACAGGUCAGCAGGUGCUCCUCAAUACGACCUCCGGGGAACAUCCUGGUGCAGAACGGACAGCGCACUGCUGGGAGAGACGGUCAGACGGGGAGGAGAGAGAACAUAAAACACGAAUAUUCCAGAAUAGGGGACUUUUAUGGUGCUGCAGUGGUCACUACUUUAAACCUGUACAGUGCUGAACAGAGUGGAAAUCCAGAGGGUGUGUGUGUGUGUGUGUGUGUGUGUGUGUGUGUGUGUGU